CCUCUGUGCUUGCCCUCUCUGCAGAGGAGACCCUGCUGCGGUGCAGAGACCUGGCCUCCUCCCUGCGCCUCCUGCGGGCCGACUGCCUCAGCACGGGCAUAGAGCUGCUCCGGCGGAUCCAGGAGAGGCUGCUUGCCAUCCUGCAGCAUUCCGCCCAGGAUUUCCGGGUUGGUCUUCAGAGUCCAUCAGUAGAGGCCUGGGAGGCAAAAGGACCCAACAUGCCCGGCAGUCAGCCCCAGGCCUCCUCAGGGCCAGAGGUGGAAGAGGAGGAGGAAGACGAUGAGGAUGAUGUGCCCGAGUGGCAGCAGGAUGAGUUUGAUGAGGAGCUGGACAAUGACAGCUUCUCCUACGAUGAGUCUGAGAACCUGGACCAAGAGACUUUCUUCUUUGGUGAUGAGGAGGAGGAUGAAGAUGAGGCCUAUGACUGAGGGGGCAGAUGCAGGAAACACCUAGAGCAGCCCCAGAGUCACAGGGCUGAGGGGGCGGGAGCUGCCCCUGUCAUGGGGAGGGGGAUUCCCAGCAUCUGUAGUGCCUCCUGUUUGCUGAAUAAAGGUCUCUUUCUCACAC
rnacentral:sRNA from 1 species